rnacentral:rRNA from 1 species
CCAGCAGCCGCGGUAAUACGGAGGAUGCGAGCUUUAUCCGGAUUUAUUUGGUUUAAAGGGUGCGUAGGUGGCCUGAUAAGUCGGGGGUGAAAAGCUGUGGCUCAACCACAGUCUUGCCUUCGAAACUGUUUGGCUUGAGUAUAGAUGAAGUAGGCGGAAUUUGUGGUGUAGCGGUGAAAUGCAUAGAUAUCACGAGGAACUCCGAUUGCGAAGGCAGCUUACUAAGUUAUGACUGACACUGAAGCACGAAAGCGUGGGUAUCAAACAGGAUUAGAUACCCUGGUAGUCCACGCAGUAAACGAUGAUAACUGGGCGUAUGCGAUAUACAGUAUGCUCCUGAGCGAAAGCGUUAAGUUAUCCACCUGGGGAGUACGCCGGCAACGGUGAAACUCAAAGGAAUUGACGGGGGCCCGCACAAGCGGAGGAACAUGUGGUUUAAUUCGAUGAUACGCGAGGAACCUUACCCGGGAUUGAAAUUUAGCGGACUAUGUAUGAAAGUACAUAUCCUGUCACAAGGCCGCUAAGUAGGUGCUGCAUGGUUGUCGUCAGCUCGUGCCGUGAGGUGUCGGCUUAAGUGCCAUAACGAGCGCAACCCACGUUGUCAGUUACUAUCGGGUAAAGCCGAGGACUCUGACAAGACUGCCGUCGUAAGGCGCGAGGAAGGUGUGGAUGACGUCAAAUCAGCACGGCCCUUACAUCCGGGGCGACACACGUGUUACAAUGGUGGGGACAAAGGGCAGCUACUUGGUGACAAGAUGCGAAUCUCCAAACCCCAUCCCAGUUCGGAUCGUAGUCUGCAACUCGACUAUGUGAAGCUGGAUUCGCUAGUAAUCGCGCAUCAGCCAUGGCGCGGUGAAUACGUUCCCGGGCCUUGU